CUGGCCUUGACAUCCUGCGAACUUUCUAGAGAUAGAUUGGUGCCUUCGGGAACGCAGUGACAGGUGCUGCAUGGCCGUCGUCAGCUCGUGUCGUGAGAUGUUGGGUUAAGUCCCGUAACGAGCGCAACCCCUAUCCCUGGUUGCUAGCAGGUAAUGCUGAGAACUCCAGGGAGACUGCCGGUGACAAACCGGAGGAAGGUGGGGAUGACGUCAGGUCAUCAUGGCCCUUACGGCCAGGGCUACACACGUGCUACAAUGGCGCGUACAGAGGGCUGCCAACUCGCGAGAGUGAGCCAACCCCUUAAAACGCGUCGUAGUCCGGAUCGGAGUCUGCAACUCGACUCCGUGAAGUCGGAAUCGCUAGUAAUCGCGAAUCAGAAUGUCGCGGUGAAUACGUUCCC
rnacentral:rRNA from 1 species